CCAGACGGCCGGAUGGUCGCCUUCCGCGUCCCUUGCGGGCGCGGGGGGAGGAAAGUCCGGGCUCCACGGAAACACGGUGCCGGGUAACGCCCGGCGGGGGCGACCCCAGGGAAAGUGCCACAGAAAGCAAACCGCCGGCUCCGGCCUCGGCCCGCCGGCAAGGGUGAAAGGGUGCGGUAAGAGCGCACCGCGCCCCCGGCAACGGGGGUGGCAGGGCAAACCCCACCGGGAGCAAGACCAAGUAGGGACGGCGCGCCGGGGCCUUGUCCGUCAAGGACCAGGGAACCGGCAGGCGGGUUUUCGCGCCGCCGUCCGGGUCGGUCGCACGAGGCGUCCGGUAACGGGCGUCCCAGAUGAAUGGCCAUCGUCCGCCUCGGCGGAUACAGAACCCGGCUUACAGGCCGUCUGGCGCC
rnacentral:RNase_P_RNA from 1 species